UUACGGCCAUAUCACGUUGAAAACAACGGUUCCCGUAAGAUCACCAAAGUUAACCAACGUCGAGCCUGUUCAGUAUCUAGAUGGAUGGCCGCCUGGGAAUACCAUGUUCUGUAA